CCGUUCCCUUCAGGACCACCAAUAAUCCCGCCACCCCCUCCCAUCUCUCCCGACUGUCUGGAUGACACUGAUGCCCUGGGCAGUAUGCUAAUCUCUUGGUACAUGAGUGGCUACCACACUGGCUACUAUAUGGGUUUCAGACAAAAUAAAAAAGAAGGAAAGUGCUCACAUACAAAUUAAGAAGUUCAGCUCUGUCUCAGGAGAUGGGGUGUCGGUGUCCCUGGUCGACAAGAACAGACGUCUCCUCGUCAUCAGUGGACUCUUGGCUAAGUGGUGUCGUCAUCAGCAUCUCCCCGCUGUGGGAGUCCAUCCAUCCUAAGUCAGCAGCAGAGCGUGCCUGGGGCGUGAGCAGUUGGAGGGACCGACCAGUGGAGUCCAGGUCUAAAAUUCAACGGCCCG
rnacentral:sRNA from 1 species